rnacentral:lncRNA from 1 species
AUAACUUUAGGUUUCAUCUUGCCAGCUCUCAAGCCCUGUUCUUGAGUGAUUUUUACCUUUCCUUUUGAAUCCUGAUGAAUCUAAUGUUAAACAGAUAUCUCAUGUUUUCUUUAAGAUUGAUUGAUUCCUAAAGAUUCAAUAUUCAUUUUUUUUCAUUUCAAAGUCUUUCAUCUUUUCUUCAAACGCGGCUUGUGUUCAUCAGAGAGUGCUUGGCUUCUUCAUCUUUUUUCUAAGGACCUUGUAAUUUGCAUUCCAUUUUUGACUAAUACGAUCAUUCUAACAGGUUUCCACGACGCUGGGCUGCCUCUCCCCUGUGUUCUGGCAGCCUUGGCAGCGCACCUCUCCCGGUCAAUUUUGGUUGCCAUAGCAUGACUUAUUGCAUGUGUGGAGAGAGAGAUGAGCAAUUAUCGUGUCUGUGCUUAUUAACCUUUUCUUUUUGUGUUAGAGUCAGCUUAACCCAGGGCUUUGAGAAGAUUAAGCUGUAAUGAAAUACUAAACAUAACAAGGAAGAAAGCACAGCCUGCCAGAAGUGGAGCGGUGGAAUCUGGCGAAGAAAGGCACAGUGUGCUAAAGAACGGGAGUGAGCCACUGCGUGACACCCCAACUUUCAUAAAUGCUCUCGUCUCAUCUCGCUUGGGUUUCCCUCUCCUUCCUCCUCAAUAUCCUUCUCCUGGCUAACCCUCCACGUCUUCCAAGGCUGAGCAAAGACGUCUGCUGCUGCCCGAGCCUGGGUGAGGCUGUUGUCCCGGGCUCCUUCCAGGUGGGCACUUGUGCCUGUGGAUGCAGCUCCUCCGUCUCAGGACCAUGCCUUUCAUUUUUAUGGCCGCUGCCCUGGGCCCUGGGCUUGGUAGGGUUGAGGUGCUUACCAAGCAUUUGCCAAGUCAACUCUAUGAAUCAAUGGAUGGGGAACUACAUGCUGCUGUCUCAGGAAGGAGCUGUGCCAACGCAAGAAUCCCUUCUCUCUGCAACAGGGCCUGUUUGGGUCUGCUCUUUGCUGCAGUGUCUCUUUCUUUUGGUCACAUGCCCUCCACCUUGGCUGCCUCUCCCCAAACCUGAACAAGGCCCAGAGAGAAGCAGAGUGGCCUCAGUCUUCCAAGUUGCCGUCACCAGGAUGUGCUGCCCACAAAGCAGGUUUUGGGCUCACCCUGAGGCCUCUGGAACCUAGCCUGUCACUGGACAUCUUGACCUCCUGCCCCGCCUGCAUUCUCUCCCACGGAGGAUGCUGCAGUCUCAGGAGAUGGUUGCAUGUGAGGUGGAAUUCUUCCAAGAAGCUCCUAUAAGAGGGUGAAAGUGAAUCCAGAGCAGCCAUAGCCACACUGGAGCCACUGUGGUGAUGCGCCCAGCCACGGAGCGAGAGCAGAGGAGAUCUGCCACACACGUGCUUCUCCAGGCAGCUGUCAGAAUCAAGGGCCCUCUGGAGGAUGGGGCCUACCCUUACUAGGAAAGAACCUGAGACAUCUGGGCUGCAGUUUCUGUCUUUGUCAGCUGCUUGUCACACGUGAGUUCUCUGUGGCCACCACUGUCCUAGUCCGUGGCAGUGAUAUUCUUUCCUGCCCUUGUGGGCUUACUGCCCCCCAGAGCCUGUGAUGUUAUGAAUGGCUCAUGUCAAAUCUGACCUCUUAAAUGCUGACUUUCAGCUUUUGUAAUUUGCCUAGUAGAAGCAGAGAAG